CGCUGAAAUUGCAAAAUCAGCCUAAUUUAUUUAUUCAUGGACAAGAAAUUGAAAUAUAUAAUUCGCAAAAAAAAACAAAAAAAAAAGGAGCAUUUUGUGAAGAUGUAGCUGAUGGAGUUAGCCAAAUAAUUGGAGAAGAUGUUUUAGUAGAUCAAUUGAGAAAAGACGUUAUAAAUCCUUUUAUUAAUAAAAAUAACGAAAAAAAAAAAAAAAACUUUUCUCCAACACUGCAACUUUCGUUUCCGUCACAAAUAAAAACCAGUAACAUUGGUAGUAUUGGUCCACCAGUUAUCAUAUUAAUACAUGGAGAAAGUGGGACAGGUAAAACGUAUAUAUCAAAAAAAAUAAUCGAGGAAUGUAAAUAUAACAGCUUAAUUAUUAACUGUUCUACCAUAUUUCAUAAAAUUAUGGGAGAGUCAGAAAAAGUAAUCAAUCAAAUAUUUUAUAUAGCUAAAAAUAAACUACAACCAUGUAUUAUUUUAUUCGAUGAUAUAGAUAUUAUAUGUUUCAAUGAAAAUAAUUAUUUUGGUAGUAUUAAUAAAUUUGCUAUGAGACUAAAAAUGUGUUUUUAUGAAAAUAUUGAUAAACUGUAUUUUGACAAAAAAUGGAACUGCGCUGUCACCACCACCAACAAUACAAACAACCAUAAUUCAAUGUUCAUUAUAGCCACUACAAAUAAUAUUAAAAAUGUCGACACAAAUUUAUUAACAAAUUAUAGAAUAAAUCAUAUUUAUCAAACCACUCCAUUUAGAAAUUGGAAAAACUAUGAUAUAUAUAAACUUUUUGAAAAAUAUUUAAUAGCAAAUAAUAUUAAAUCAUAUAAUUUUAUAUAUUCUAAUGAGUUCAAAAACUUUAUAACAAAUUAUAUUUUUAAAAAAAAGGAAACGUUAUCACCCAUGUAUGUCUCACAUUUGUUAACUACGGCAUUGUCCCACUAUAUAAAACGGACUGUUCUGAAUGCAAAUGAACAAGAUAAUGAAAUAACAGUUAGGGAUUUCAUCGAGGCUAUAAAAAUUAUGUCAUAAGAAAAAAAAAAAAAUUUUCCAUAUAUAUGCGUGUAUAUAUAUGUGUACUACCAUUGCUAGACUUACGUUUAUUUUUGUAUAAAUUUAUUAAAAAAAGUAACAGUUAAGAAAAUAAAAAAAAUAAAUAAAAUAAUAAUAAUAAUAAA
rnacentral:lncRNA from 1 species